rnacentral:rRNA from 1 species
UUCUUUGCUGACGAGUGGCGGACGGGUGAGUAAUGUCUGGGAAACUGCCUGAUGGAGGGGGAUAACUACUGGAAACGGUAGCUAAUACCGCAUAACGUCCCAAGACCAAAGAGGGGGACCUUCGGGCCUCUUGCCAUCGGAUGUGCCCAGAUGGGAUUAGCUUGUUGGUGGGGUAACGGCUCACCAAGGCGACAAUCCCUAGCUGGUCUGAGAGGAUGACCAGCCACACUGGAACUGAAACACGGUCCAAACUCCUACGGGAGGCAGCAGUGGGGAAUAUUGCACAAUGGGCGCAAGCCUGAUGCACCCAUGCCGCGUGUAUGAAAAAGGCCUUCGGGUUGUAAAGUACUUUCAGCGGGGAGGAAGGGAGUAAAGUUAAUACCUUUGCUCAUUGACGUUACCCGCAAAAAAAGCACCGGCUAACUCCGUGCCAGCAGCCGCGGUAAUACGGAGGGUGCAAGCGUUAAUCGGAAUUACUGGGCGUAAAGCGCACGCAGGCGGUUUGUUAAUCAAAUGUGAAAUCCCCGGGCUCACCUGGGAACUGCUCUGAACUGGCAGCUUGAUCUC